rnacentral:rRNA from 1 species
UACGUAGGGGGCUAGCGUUGUCCGGAAUCAUUGGGCGUAAAGCGCGUGUAGGCGGUCCGGUAAGUCCGCUGUGAAAGUCGGGGGCUCAACCCUCGAAUGCCGGUGGAUACUGUCGGGCUAGAGUGCGGAAGAGGCGAGUGGAAUUCCUGGUGUAGCGGUGGAAUGCGCAGAUAUCAGGAGGAACACCGAUGGCGAAGGCAGGUCUCUGGGCCAUUACUGACGCUGAGAAGCGAAAGCAUGGGGAGCGAACAGG